AACGCAGAGGAAGGUGGGGACGACGUCAAGUCAUCAUGGUCCUUAUGACCAGGGCUACACACGUGCUACAAUGGUAGUUACAGAGGGAAGCGAUACGGCAACGUGGAGCAAAUCUCAGAAAAGCUACCUUAGUUCGGAUUGAGGUCUGCAACUCGACCUCAUGAAGUUGGAAUCGCUAGUAAUCGCGCAAACAGCAUGGCGCGGUGAAUACGUUCCCGGGCCUU
rnacentral:rRNA from 1 species